rnacentral:rRNA from 1 species
UGGGGAAUUUUGGACAAUGGACGCAAGUCUGAUCCAGCCAUGCCGCGUGCGGGAAGAAGGCCUUCGGGUUGUAAACCGCUUUUGUCAGGGAAGAAACGAGUUUCUCUAAUACAGAGACUUAAUGACGGUACCUGAAGAAGAAGCACCGGCUAACUACGUGCCAGCAGCCGCGGUAAUACGUAGGGUGCGAGCGUUAAUCGGAAUUACUGGGCGUAAAGCGUGCGCAGGCGGUUAUGUAAGACAGAUGUGAAAUCCCCGGGCUCAACCUGGGAACUGCAUUUGUGACUGUAUAGCUAGAGUACGGCAGAGGGGGAUGGAAUUCCGCGUGUAGCAGUGAAAUGCGUAGAUAUGCGGAGGAACACCGAUGGCGAAGGCAAUCCCCUGGGCCUGUACUGACGCUCAUGCACGAAAGCGUGGAGAGCAAACA